rnacentral:rRNA from 1 species
AGGCUACCGCUAUUGGAGUUCGAUUAAGCCAUGCGAGUCGCGAGUCUUAGGGACUCGGCGUACCGCUCAGUAACACGUGGGUAACCUGCCCUAUGCUGGGGGAUAACCUCGGGAAACUGAGAAUAAUACCCCAUAGUUCACCACGCCUGGAACGGUGGGUGGAUGAAAGCUCCGGCGGCAUAGGAUGGGCCUGCGGCGUAUCAGGUUGUAGGGGGUGUAAUGUACCCUCUAGCCAUCUACGCGUACGGGUGUUGGGAGACAUCGCCCGGAGAUGGAUUCUGAGACACGAAUCCAGACCCUACGGGGUGCAGCAGGCGCGAAAACUUGGCAAUGCGAGAAAUCGUGACCAGGGAACUCCAAGUGCAUCGGGUAAGACCGAUGCUUUUCUUGACUCUUCAAAGGUCUUGGAAUAAGGGGUGGGUAAGGACGGUGCCAGCCGCCGCGGUAAUACCGGCGCCUCAAGUGGUAGUCGCUUUUAUUGGGCCUAAAACGUCCGUAGCCGGUUUGGUACAUUCGUGGGUAAAUCAAGGCGCUCAACGUCUUGAAUUCUGCGAGCACGGCCAGACUUGGGACCGGGUGAGGUGUGGGGUACUCUCAGGGUAGGGGUAAAAUCCUGUCAUCCUGAGAGGACCACCUGUUGCGAAGGCGCCACACUAGAACGGAUCCGACGGUCAGGGACGAAGCCUAGGGGCACGAACCGGAUUAGAUACCCGGGUAGUCCUAGGUGUAAACGCUGUGGACUUGAUGUUGGGAGUGCUCCGAGCACCCUCAGUGUCGAAGCGAAGGUGAUAAGUCCACUGCCUGGGGAGUACGGUCGCAAGGCUGAAACUUAAAGGAAUUGGCGGGGGAGCACUGCAACCUGAGGAUUGUGCGGUUU